rnacentral:tRNA from 1 species
GUAGGGUUGCCCGAUCGGUUAGGGGUUGGUCUGCAAAACCAAUUAGAACGGUUCGAUUCCGUUACCCUACUCA